rnacentral:rRNA from 1 species
CCUACGGGAGGCAGCAGUGGGGAAUAUUGGGCAAUGGACGCAACUCUGACCCAGCAACGCCGCGUGAAGGAAGAAGGCUUUCGGGUUGUAAACUUCUUUUAAUGGGGAAGAGCAUAAGACUGUACCCCGUAAAUAAGCCACGGCUAACUACGUGCCAGCAGCCGCGGUAAUACGUAGGGGGCAAGCGUCUUCCGGAUUUACUGGGUGUAAAGGGCGUGCAGCCGGGGAGACAAGUCAGAUGUGAAAUUCACGGGCUCAACCCGUGAACUGCAUUUGAAACUGUUUCCCUUGAGUGUCGGAGAGGUAAUCGGAAUUCCUUGUGUAGCGGUGAAAUGCGUAGAUAUAAGGAAGAACACCAGUGGCGAAGGCGGAUUACUGGACGAUAACUGACGGUGAGGCGCGAAAGCGUGGGGAGCAAACAGGAUUAGAUACCCGAGUAGUC